rnacentral:rRNA from 1 species
GACGAACGCUGGCGGCGUGCUUAACACAUGCAAGUCGAACGAAGUGGCGAACGGGUGAGUAACGCGUAAUCAACCUGCUCUUACGCGGGGGACAACAGUUGGAAACGACUGCUAAUACCGCAUACUGAAGGAGGUGUUUGCGUCUGAUUAGCUAGUUGGAGGGGUAACGGCCCACCAUGGCGAUGAUCAGGAGCCGGGCUGAGAUGAUGAACGGGCAAAUGGGGACUGAGACACGGCCAAGACUGCUACGGGAGGCAGAAGUGGGGAAGCUACCGAAAUGGACGAAAGGCUGACGGAGCAACGCCGCGUGAGUGAUGACGGCCUUCGGGUUGUAAAGCUCUGUUAAUCGGGACGCGGUACCGGAAUAGAAAGCCACGGCUAACUACGUGCCAGCAGCCGCGGUAAUAC